UCCAAAUGAAAAUGAGGAAGAGC
rnacentral:piRNA from 1 species